rnacentral:rRNA from 1 species
ACGGCCCACCAAGGCGACGAUCGGUAGCCGGCCUGAGAGGGUGAUCGGCCACAUUGGGACUGAGAUACGGCCCAGACUCUACGGGAGGCAGCAGUAGGGAAUAUUGCACAAUGGGGGAAACCCUGAUGCAGCAACGCCACGUGUGGGAAGAAGCAUUUCGGUGUGUAAACCACUGUCAUGAGGGAAUAAGGCUCCCUCCGGGCGGGAUUGAAUGUACCUUGAGAGGAAGCACCGGCAAACUCGUGCCAGCAGCCGCGGUAAUACGAGGGGUGCAAGCGUUGUUCGGAAUUACUGGGCGUAAAGGGAGCGUAGGCGGAGAUUCAAGCGGAUUGUACAAUCCCGGGGCCCAACCCCGGCUCUGCAGUCCGAACUGGAUCUCUUGGAUAGUUCAGGGGCAGGCGGAAUUCCUGGUGUAGCGGUGGAAUGCGUAGAGAUCAGGAAGAACACCGAUGGCGAAGGCAGCCUGCUGGGGACUCAUCGACGCUGAGGCUCGAAAGUGCGGGUAGCAAACAGGAUUAGAUACCCUGGUAGUCCGCACCGUAAACAAUGCAUACUGGGUGUCCGGGGGUUCCCCCGGGUACCGUAGCCAACGCGUUAAGUAUGCCGCCUGGGGAGUACGUACGCAAGUAUGAAA